UCCGGAGGGUGCAAGCGUUAUCCGGAAUCACUGGGUUUCAAGGGUGCGUAGGCGGCGCAAUAAGUCAGAGGUGAAAGCCUGCAGCUCAACUGUAGAAUUGCCUUUGAUACUGCUGCGCUUGAAUCAGGUUGAGGUUGGCGGAAUGUGGCAUGUAGCGGUGAAAUGCAUAGAUAUGCCAUAGAACACCAAUUGCGAAGGCAGCUGACUGGGCCUGAAUUGACGCUGAGGCACGAAAGCGUGGGGAGAAAACAGG
rnacentral:rRNA from 1 species